rnacentral:antisense_RNA from 1 species
CUUCACCGAGCCCAGCCACAGGGGCUCUUCGCGGUCGCGGCCGUAGGUGGCCAGCAGGGCCUGCGCCUC